rnacentral:lncRNA from 1 species
ACAGCGUGGUGAGCUGCGGAAGUACACAAGGAGAGGCCAUCUGAAACACAUCUCUGCCUUUAUUAUGGUCUCUUAAAAUGUGAUUUGGGGAAUAUAAUUUCAUUUCGAGCUUCCUUCGCAAGCAGAAAGCCAUAGGAUUCCUUUAAAAUCAGAGCAAUGGAGCAUGCUGUACCAGCUUAUGAGGACCUGUUUUGAACAAACACCAAGAUUGAUAAUGUGCCCCUAAGGGGAAGCGUCUAUACAGCCGGGUUCUUCAAGGAUACAUCAAAGGGGCAAGAUGGGCCAUCUUCUAGACUAUAUGUCCAAGGGGCAGCUAGGACACCUGUUCCCUGAAGCCUGUGUUCUACCAUCAAAAUGAGGAUCUGUUUGUCCUUUUCAUACUCUUCAGUGAGCCCAGUCUCCUGUAUUCCUUUGAUCUUAGAAAACCAAAGCAGAACAAGCGACAACCUGAAGAUAAGAUGUCUGCCUUGGCAAUCAUUUUUUUCCCCUUGGUGCUGAGCUCAAUUGUCUUGAUUACUCACAUCUGUGCUAUUUGCAAGUGAGGCUUAAAUCUGGGGGUCUCUUAGGAGCUCUUUGUAGUUGCUCGAGGUGUCUUUGAGACAGUGCUCGUCUGUUCUAACCUGAGAUUGGCAUUCAGGCAAUUGACAUACUACAAAGCCAAGGCACAGAAAAUGGUGUUCAUCAAUAGGGAUGGGCCUUCAACCAGUGUCCCCAAAGUAGCUCCAAGGUAUGAGCUGCUUACCCCUCCAUUAAAAUUAGAAUGUGACCUGCUCACUCUUUUAUCACUUAGAAAAUAAAUGGCUCUAAGUAUAAAAUCCAGUAUAUGUCAGUAAAGAAGACCGAAGUCUUGCCAUUUGCAGGAAAGGUAUCAUGGUAAGGGAUAUAAGCUGGGCACAGAAAGACAAAUGACAUGUGCUUCCUCUUGUGUACAGAACUCCAAAACAAAGAAUGAAACAGGGAACAUUAAUGUUAAAGAUGAUUGGAGAACUUGGGUUGGAGGGGUAGCUGUGGAGUCAGAGUAUGUGAUACCUACAAGUGUCGGGUUGUAAGAGGGACUCACUGACAUACGAUUCUUAUGCUCCUUUGGUCGGUUUGGUUGGUUUGAGACAAGGUUUCCCUAUGAAGCCCUGGAUGUCCUGGAACUUGCUCUAUAGAGCAGGCUGGCCUUGAACUCACAGAGACACACUUGACUCUGUCUUCCGAUCGAGCACUGGGAUUAAAGGUAUGAGGCACCAUACCCAGCCAGCUAUAACUCUAGAAACAUUUGCUAACUGGAAGAUAGUCCUCGAAAUAAAGGCAUUUCCACCCUUAAUGGC